rnacentral:rRNA from 1 species
AGCGAACGCUGGCGGCAGGCCUAACACAUGCAAGUCGAACGGAUCCUUCGGGAUUAGUGGCGGACGGGUGAGUAACACGUGGGAACGUGCCCUUUGGUUCGGAACAACUCAGGGAAACUUGAGCUAAUACCGGAUGUGCCCUUCGGGGGAAAGAUUUAUCGCCAUUGGAGCGGCCCGCGUCUGAUUAGCUAGUUGGUGAGGUAAAGGCUAACCAAGGCGAAGAUCAGUAGCUGGUCUGAGAGGAUGAUCAGCCACAUUGGGACUGAGACACGGCCCAAACUCCUACGGGAGGCAGCAGUGGGGAAUCUUGCGCAAUGGGCGAAAGCCUGACGCAGCCAUGCCACGUGAAUGAUGAAGGUCUUAGGAUUGUAAAAUUCUUUCACCGGGGACGAUAAUGACGGUACCCGGAGAAGAAGCCCCGGCUAACUUCGUGCCAGCAGCCGCCGUAA